rnacentral:rRNA from 1 species
GACGAACGCUGGCGGCGUGCUUAACACAUGCAAGUCGAACGGAAAGGCCCUGCUUGCAGGGUGCUCGAGUGGCGAACUGGUGAGUAACACGUGGGUGAUCUGCCCCUUACUUUGGGAUAAGCCUGGGAAACUGGGUCUAAUACUGGAUAGGACCAUGCUGUAGGUGGUGUGGUGGAAAGAUUAGUUUCGGUAAGGGAUGAGCUCGCGGCCUAUCAGCUUGUUGGUGGGGUAAUGGCCUACCAAGGCGUCGACGGGUAGCCGGCCUGAGAGGGUGGACGGCCACAUUGGGACUGAGAUACGGCCCAGACUCCUACGGGAGGCAGCAGUGGGGAAUAUUGCACAAUGGGCGCAAGCCUGAUGCAGCGACGCCGCGUGGGGGAUGACGGCCUUCGGGUUGUAAACUCCUUUCAGCCAUGACGAAGCCCUUGUGGUGACGGUAGUGGUAGAAGAAGCACCGGCUAACUACGU